rnacentral:rRNA from 1 species
CCUACGGGAGGCAGCAGUAGGGAAUAUUGGGCAAUGGGCGAGAGCCUGACCCAGCCAUGCCGCGUGCCGGAUGAAGGCCUUCUGGGUUGUAAACGGCUUUUCUCAGGGAAGAAAAAGCCCAUGCGUGGGACACUGACGGUACCUGAGGAAUAAGCACCGGCUAACUCCGUGCCAGCAGCCGCGGUAAUACGGAGGGUGCAAGCGUUGUCCGGAUUUAUUGGGUUUAAAGGGUGCGUAGGCGGCCCGUUAAGUCCGGGGUGAAAGCCCACAGCUCAACUGUGGAACUGCCCUGGAUACUGGCGGGCUUGAGUCCAGACGAGGUUGGCGGAAUGGAUGGUGUAGCGGUGAAAUGCAUAGAUACCAUCCAGAACCCCGAUUGCGUAGGCAGCUGACUAGGCUGGUACUGACGCUGAGGCACGAAAGCGUGGGGAGCGAACAGGAUUAGAUACCCUGGUAGUCCACGCCGUAAACGAUGGAUACUCGCUGGUGGCGAUAGACAGUCACUGGCUUAGCGAAAGCGGUAAGUAUCCCACCUGGGGAGUACGCUCGCAAGAGUGAAACUCAAAAUGAAUUGACGG